AACGAACGCUGGCGGCAGGCUUAACACAUGCAAGUCGAGCGAAGACUUCGGUCUUAGCGGCGGACGGGUGAGUAACACGUAAGGAACCUGCCCCAAGGAUUGGGAUAACUCCGAGAAAUCGGAGCUAAUACCGAAUAGUUCUUCAGACCGCAUGGUCUGAUGAUGAAAGGCGCUCCGGCGUCACCUUGGGAUGGCCUUGCGGUGCAUUAGCUAGUUGGUGGGGUAAUGGCCCACCAAGGCGACGAUGCAUAGCCGACCUGAGAGGGUGAUCGGCCACACUGGGACUGAGACACGGCCCAGACUCCUACGGGAGGCAGCAGUAGGGAAUCUUCCACAAUGGACGAAAGUCUGAUGGAGCAACGCCGCGUGAGUGAUGAAGGUUUUCGGAUCGUAAAACUCUGUUGUAAGGGAAGAACAGGUAUGAGAGGUAAUGCUCAUGCUAUGACGGUACCUUGCGAGAAAGCCACGGCUAACUACGUGCCAGCAGCCGCAGUAACAC
rnacentral:rRNA from 1 species